AUGUGUAAUGGGAGCCACCCUGACACUGUCCUGCACCUUGUGUUGCUUGGCAUGUGCAGUGGCAGUGCCCUCUCCCUGCCAUCGAGCUGGCACCGGUUUUUGUACAGCCAUGUAUCACUGUGGUGGGUGUUCGGAGGAGGAACCCAGCUGACCGUCCUUGGACAGCCAAAGGCCUCUCCUACAGUGCACCUCUUCCCUCCAUCCUCGGAAGAGAUCACCAGCAAGGGCAAGGCCACGCUGGUGUGUCUGAUGGACGGCUUUUACCCCCGGCUCAGUCCUGGUCACCUGGAAAGCUGAUGGCACCACCAUGUCCAGUGGAGUGGAGACCACCAAGCCCUCCAAACAGAACAACAACCAGUACAUGGCCAGCAGCUACCUGUCACUGAGCGCCCCCGACUGGAAGGGCCACGAGACCUACACCUGUCAGGUGACGCACGAUGGGAAGAGCAUCGAGAAGACCCUGAAGCGAUCGGUGUGCUCUUAAUCUCAACCACAGCAAGAGGAAAGGAUUCUCCAAAGGAGUCAGGAUUGUUGAUUUUUUUCCCUAGAAAUUCUUCACCCUAUUUUCUUUGGGUGAUUUUUGCAGAUACCUUUUGAUAUCCACACCCCGUGUCCCCACUGGCCCCACCUCUCUGAAUUCCCUGCAAGUGUGCUUCCUUCCUUAGUAUCUAAUGCAACUUCAGUGCUAAAUCCAGCAAACUUUACCUCUUGCCACACUGAUGAACACCUACGGUUCUGUGCCUCUAACCUGUAGUGUACUAACUUCAAUAUUCAUGUUAUCUCAUAAAAUAAUCUUACCUUUUAUCAACAACUAUGCUUUUGUUGGGGCAUCUCUCUUGCUAGUGGUUUUUAUAUUCCAAUGAAGAUAUAUGGUUCUGUGUUAAAUUUAAUAUUGGGGGUAGGCGGAGUUGCAAUUUUAGUUCAAUCUCCUAGAGAUCAAGAAAGGAAGAGGAAUAAUGGAGAGGGACCACUGGCUUGGCAAGCUGUAACUAUCUUUGUCCUAAGAAUUACCACUCUGCCUCUCAGACAGACCAUAAUAAGGUACAAUUAAUGUGUCUGUGUGACACUUCUCCUUUGUGCGAAUCCUUGAGGGAUUAGGGUCACACUGACUGCCCAUGUAUUUCUGUAGCCAAUCAAGGUGUGCUGGGCUCCUGUUGGCAACUGGCAGCAAAGAGGCAAGAGUUGGUUAAUACUUGGAUGGGACAGUAACCCUGCAGGCAGAUAUCUUAAGAGAAGCCAUGUUACUUAUAUGUGAGACAUAUAAUGAGCAUUAAGCCCUUGACUGCUCUCAGGCAUAGGACAGGUUUCUAACUGGUGCUGCUGUAGGUAUUGAAUCAAUAUGACCCAAGCACUAGAUCAGGG